CAAUUGGGUGUUUUCCCUUUCAGCACUGUCCAGCACUGUGGCCCAGCAGGUGCUGAAACGUCUGGAAUCACUUGCAGAAACAUGAACGGAUAUCUGUCUUGUGUGCCUUCUCCUCAGUGUAAAAUUUGAAGUGGCGUUCAAUAUCACCGUGGAGAUUUCGUCUUAUGUGAUGUUGCGUGGUGGCUUUUUGAUGAAAUUUUGCAUUGAGAAUAUUACUAGAAAAUGUGAAAGGUGCAUGCAGCCUACUGUCAACUAUUGUGAUGUAAAUCCUGGGAUCCUACUGAAUGUGUCAUCCAAGUGACAGAGGAUUCAUCAUAAUUAUCAACUGAUUCUAUUGGACUUGCUAGAUCACCAACCCCAGCAUAGACCAAUCUCUCAUUCCACUUCUAGAGAACCUUGGAUACCUGAUUGGUAGUUUAGUGUGUUCUUAGGUUUCUAAUUUUAGAUGACAGACUUUAUGAGAAGUCAUUUCCUUUGAAGAAGGACAAACCUCCUUUGAAG